UACGAAGGGGGCUAGCGUUGCUCGGAAUCACUGGGCGUAAAGGGUGCGUAGGCGGGGUUUUAAGUCAGGGGGGAAAUCCUGGAGCUCAACUCCAGAACUGCCUUUGAUACUGAAGAUCUUGAGUCCGGGAGAGGUGAGUGGAACUGCGAGUGUAGAGGUGAAAUUCGUAGAUAUUCGCAAGAACACCAGUGGCGAAGGCGGCUCACUGGCCCGAUACUGACGCUGAGGCACGAAAGCGUGGGUAGCAAACAGG
rnacentral:rRNA from 1 species